rnacentral:rRNA from 1 species
GACGAACGCUGGCGGCGUGCUUAACACAUGCAAGUCGAACGGAAAGGCCCUGCUUUUGUGGGGUGCUCGAGUGGCGAACGGGUGAGUAGCACGUGAGUAACCUGCCCUUGACUUUGGGAUAACUUCAGGAAACUGGGGCUAAUACCGGAUAGGAGCUCCUGCUGCAUGGUGGGGGUUGGAAAGUUUCGGCGGUUGGGGAUGGACUCGCGGCUUAUCAGCUUGUUGGUGGGGUAGUGGCUUACCAAGGCUUUGACGGGUAGUCGGCCUGAGAGGGUGACCGGCCACAUUGGGACUGAGAUACGGCCCAGACUCCUACGGGAGGCAGCAGUGGGGAAUAUUGCACAAUGGGCGGAAGCCUGAUGCAGCAACGCCGCGUGCGGGAUGACGGCCUUCGGGUUGUAAACCGCUUUCGCCUGUGACGAAGCGUGAGUGACGGUAAUGGGUAAAGAAGCACCGGCUAACUACGUG